CUUUCGAUUGUAACUGGGACAAUUUGCAUAGUGAUUCCCUUUCAGAGCUUUCCCGGGUCCAUAACAAGCCCAGGCAGCUAUUCAAAUGCAAGUUGCAUCCCCAAAUGCGAGGCUGGCCUGACCAAAAAGAGCCACUCGGAGCGCGCGGGAGAGGCGAGACUAGCGCUCGGGUUCUCAUCCUUCUCUUUUCUCCUUUCUUUUUCCCUUUCUCCUCUCCGGUUCCUGAUUUAGCUAGGAGCUGUUUAUUUAUGGCUGCAAAUGUGUGUGUGCAAGAGAGAGAGGGAAUUGAUCUUUGCCUGGACUUAAAGAUGGAGCCGAAGAAGCUGGAGGGAAUUUGGGCUUGUGCGUCUGGCUCAGACCCUGGUUGCCUAGGGGGGCCGCUGGGCGCCAAGCCCGAGGUCUAUCCUCCACGCACCUCUCGUCCCGCGACCUUGCAGGAAUCCGCGGGCCCGGAUGCAGCCCGGCUGACCCUCCUGCCCCAGGCCCGGCUGCAGAGAAAGUCUUCGGGCAGGAGGCCAUCCCGUCUCUGUCUUUAAAAUGAGCACAAUAAAAGGGGGCAAAUCCUCGAACACGAACUUGAUCUCAUGUCACAGAAGCAACUUGCCAUGAAAUCCGCUAAUGCGCCGCUACUCGACCACCAGGGCAGCAUGCGGCGGCCGAACUGCACCUGCGUUUGUGAGCCUUGUAGAAAUGGAGCCCGCCGGAUUCCCUCACCCGGAGAAAUCCCCAAAUUGAAACUUGACUACACUUCCCAGGGCUAGUUGACGGUUUCAUAAUCUCCCAGGUUUGCUGGCUGUCUCACCAAAUCCAAGCCAAACCUGCUAUAAACAUGAUCACAGGCCUCUGACCUUGCAGCACUGACCGUUAACUCGGUGGCAAAACCAGCUCCUCUGGUCAGAGGGCACUAAAGCAGCGGCUGAAUUCGUGUUUGUUUCCUUGAAUGGUCAGAAAAAUGUAGUCUUCUUAAACCUACAAAAACAGCCGAACACAUUUUCAAAUGUGUUUUGCUUAUAUGGGUUCGAGUGCUGGAAGCUGUCUGGCGGUGAGCAUUUUCGUUGCGCGUGGUUUAUGCGGAGCACCCGGGACGUUUUUCUCGUCUUUUACGUUAUGGUAUCUUUUAAAAAUGUAGAAUGUGUCUCUGGUUCACAGUAUGUUCUUUAACAACCAGAUUUGUAAGAGGACAUUUGAAAUUGAGUGGUGAGAAAAGCAGACUGGAAAGUACAAAUAAACCCAAUCCAAAGUGAAAACAAAUUAGACAGAUGAAAUUAUUAUGAAAGAAGAUGGGGUAUUAACUUGUCUGGAAAAAUCUAGUUUAUAAUCUGAACUUUACAGAUGCAAUGGCAACACAGAACAAAUCCAAAGGAAUUAUAUCUGUUCUUUUGCCCUCCCAGUCAUCUGGGCCAGGUGCACAUUUUGGGGCACUUUGAAGGACAGAUAAGCUUUGGGACAUUUCCAUACUUUUUUGAUAAACUGCAGCCAAUUAGGUGACCUUUAGUCCUGGUGGAAAACAAUUUAAAAUUUAUUCCUGGCUUUAGGGGACAAAAGAAAAAUUUUAAACCCUGGCAGUUAAAUUAUUACUGGUUUCUACAGGAUUAAUUUGAUGUAAAUAAUCUACUCUCCUGGGGGAGGAGGUGAGGCCUGGCAUUCUAGAAGGGCCAGUCAGGUGGUGACAAAACUCUCUGCCUUGGGAUUUUGAGGGGUAUGUUGGGUGGCUCUGAACCUGGUUUUGGGUUUGUUGCAUCUCUCGCUCUCUUAAAACAGUAACUCAAGAUGUAAGUAAAAGUGUUUUCAUUUUUUAUUGAUCCCGCUAACAUCUUUCAUUAUCCAGCAUGUAGCCACAGCAAAUUAUUGCUCAUUUGAUACUGAGAAUUCUAUUGACCAUCCCUUUCAUUGGAGAGAGAAUUCUAACUACUUGGCUGCUCUGUCGUCAGUCAGAGCUAAAGCUGAGGACUUUCCACGACUGAAACCAAAAUAAAUUGAGCCUUCUGCCUCCAGAAA